AAACAAUUCAUUCACCGCCUAUUUCAUCACCACACGCACCACCGCCCUUAAGCAGCAAUGUCAUACAAAACAAAAGAGAACUAAAAGCAUUCCCUUUUCAUUUGUGUAGGAUGACAAGCGUAAAAAACUUUUGAUGGAAAAAGCCAUUAAAACAUUAAAGCACAAACACUAUUUAAUAUUGUGUCCCACAAGACUAGGGAUGUUGUCGCAUGGAAUGCCAUGAUCACUGCCUUUUCAUUUCACGCACUUCCCACUCAAACACUGCACUUGGUUACCCAAAUGCAUCAAGCUGAGAUUCCUCCAAAUUCUUCAACUCUGGUAUCUAUUCUACCCAAAAUUGGACAAGCUAAUGAACUACUCUAGGGGAAGGCUAUUCACGCACACUAUGUUCACAGAACUGCACUUUUGGAUAUGUAUGCUAAGUGUCAUCAAUUAUCUUAUGCCAGAAAAAUAUUCAAUGCCGUCAAUAAGAAAAAUGAGAUAUGUUAGAGUGCUAUGAUUGGAGGUUAUGUACUUCAUGAUUGCAUCAAAGAUGCAUUGGCUCUUUAUGUUGACAUGGUAUGUAUAUACGGCUUGAACUCCACACCAGUCAUUCUUGCAACCAUGCUGAGAGCUUGUGCAUAACUCACUGAUCUGAAAAGGAGAAAAAUCUUGCAUUGUCACAUGAUUAAGUCAGGGAUACACCUAGAUACAAUAGUAGGAAACUCACUGAUAUCAACAGUAAAAUAUAGUGUGAUUCUCAAGUAGGUUUUGGUUUUGCUUAAGUUUUGGAAAAUGGCAAUGACUUGUGAAAUGAUUUUAAUUUGGUCAUGCUUCCUUUUGCUAUAUAGGUUUCUUUGGAUGGAUAAAGCAUGUCUUGGAAGUUGUUUGGGCAUGAAGAAAGGAUCAUAUGGCAUAGUGAAUCAAAAUAGAAUGCUUGAAGAUUUAGUGAAAAAUCUUUAACUUUUUAGGUUUUGUUCUAGGGACUGUGUAAAGAUCACAAUUCUAAAUGUAGAAGACUUAUGUAAUGCAAAAUAGAUCUUUGAAAA